AGAGACGUGGCCGAGUGGUCGAAGGCGCUCCCCUGCUAAGGGAGUAGGCCCGUGAGGGUCUCGAGGGUUCGAAUCCCUUCGUCUCUGCCA
rnacentral:tRNA from 2 species